rnacentral:rRNA from 1 species
GACAGAGGUGCCGAGCGUUAGGCGGAAUCACUGGGCUUAAAGCGUGUGUAGGCGGGCGGGCAAGUACCUUGUGAAAUCCCACGGCUCAACCGUGGAACGGCUGGGUAUACUGCCUGUCUUGAGCCAACUAGGGGCGAGCGGAACAGACGGUGGAGCGGUGAAAUGCGUAGAUAUCGUCUGGAACGCCAAAGGUGAAAACAGCUCGCUGGGGUUGUGCUGACGCUGGAGACACGAAAGCCAGGGGAGCGAACGGG